UACGUAGGUGGCAAGCGUUGUCCGGAAUUAUUGGGCGUAAAGCGCGCGCAGGCGGUCUUUUAAGUCUGAUGUGAAAGCCCCCGGCUCAACCGGGGAGGGUCAUUGGAAACUGGGAGACUUGAGUACAGAAGAGAAGAGCGGAAUUCCACGUGUAGCGGUGAAAUGCGUAGAGAUGUGGAGGAACACCAGUGGCGAAGGCGGCUCUUUGGUCUGUAACUGACGCUGAGGCGCGAAAGCGUGGGGAGCAAACAGG
rnacentral:rRNA from 1 species